CCUACGGGUGGCAGCAGUGGGGAAUAUUGCACAAUGGGGGAAACCCUGAUGCAGCGACGCCGCGUGAGUGAAGAAGGCAUUCGUUAUGUAAAGCUCUAUCAGCAGGGAAGAAAAUGACGUUACCUGUGUACGCAGCCACGGCCAACUACGUGCCAGCAGCCGCGGUAAUACGUAGGGGGCAAGCGUUAUCCGGAUUUACUGGGUGGAACGGGAGCGUAGACGGCAGUGCAAGUCUGGAGUGAAAGGCGGGGGCUCAACCCCCGGACUGCUCUGGAAACUGUACGGCUGGAGUGCAGGAGAGGUAAGUGGAAGUCCAGGUGUAGCGGUGAAAUGCGUAGAGAUCAGGAGGAACACCAGUGGCGAAGGCGGCUUACUGGACGGUAACUGACGUUGAGGCUCGAAAGCGUGGGGAGCAAACAGGAUUAGAUACCCCUGUAGUC
rnacentral:rRNA from 1 species